GACGAACGCUGGCGGCGUGCUUAACACAUGCAAGUCGAACGGAAAGGCCCUGCUUGCAGGGUACUCGAGUGGCGAACGGGUGAGUAACACGUGGGUGAUCUGCCCUGCACUUCGGGAUAAGCCUGGGAAACUGGGUCUAAUACCGGAUAGGAGCCAUUUUUAGUGUGAUGGUUGGAAAGUUUUUUCGGUGUAGGAUGAGCUCGCGGCCUAUCAGCUUGUUGGUGGGGUAAUGGCCUACCAAGGCGGCGACGGGUAGCCGGCCUGAGAGGGUGGACGGCAACAUUGGGACUGGGAUACGGCCCAGACUCCUACGGGAGGCAGCAGUGGGGAAUAUUGCACAAUGGGCGCAAGCCUGAUGCAGCGACGCCGCGUGGGGGAGGACGGCCUUCGGGUUGUAAACUCCUUUCGCUAGGGACGAAGCUUUUUGUGACGGUACCUAGAUAAGAAGCACCGGCUAACUACGUG
rnacentral:rRNA from 1 species